rnacentral:lncRNA from 1 species
AUGGAAAUUCCUUGUGUAACUUCGGGCACUCAGAAGUGGAAUGGGGCUAGUCCUAGUUUUAUUGCUAGAGCGGUUGUUAUUAUGAUUGAUGCUAUGGGAUUAAGGUCUUUUAGUACAGUCCAUUGUCCCGAGUGCAGUAGAUUGAUAAUGAUUCCUAUUAUUAGGAUUAUGGAGGCGGUUGCUUGUGUUAAGAAAUAUUUUGUGGCUGCUUCUAUGGCUCGUGGGUUGUAUUUUUUCAUGAGGAUGGGGAUGAUGGCUAAUAGGUUCAUUUCAAAGCCAAUUCAGACUAGAAGUCAGUGGGAGGUUGUCACUACAAUUAUAGUUCCUGAGAUAACGGUUAAUAUAAUAAUAAUAAAGAUGGGGGGUUUGAUUAGUAUGGCUAGUGUGAAGGAUCCGUUUAUUAGUAGUACUGAUAGGAGAAUGAUGGCUAGUGUGAAGGAUCCGUUUAUUAGUAGUACUGAUAGGAGAAUGAUGGCUAGUGUGAAGGAUCCGUUUAUUAGUAGUACUGAUAGGAGAAUGAUGGCUAGUGUGAAGGAUCCGUUUAUUAGUAGUACUGAUAGGAGAAUGAUGGCUAGUGUGAAGGAUCCGUUUAUUAGUAGUACUGAUAGGAGAAUGAUGGCUAGUGUGAAGGAUCCGUUUAUUAGUAGUACUGAUAGGAGAAUGAUGGCUAGUGUGAAGGAUCCGUUUAUUAGUAGUACUGAUAGGAGAAUGAUGGCUAGUGUGAAGGAUCCGUUUAUUAGUAGUACUGAUAGGAGAAUGAUGGCUAGUGUGAAGGAUCCGUUUAUUAGUAGUACUGAUAGGAGAAUGAUGGCUAGUGUGAAGGAUCCGUUUAUUAGUAGUACUGAUAGGAGAAUGAUGGCUAGUGUGAAGGAUCCGUUUAUUAGUAGUACUGAUAGGAGAAUGAUGGCUAGUGUGAAGGAUCCGUUUAUUAGUAGUACUGAUAGGAGAAUGAUGGCUAGUGUGAAGGAUCCGUUUAUUAGUAGUACUGAUAGGAGACUAUCUUGUAUAUGCCACCUUUUCAACCUGAGAUUACAAAUUGUAUCAGGUAGCAUACUUAGUAAGGAAGAGAUAGAAGAUUCACUUCCAUCCCACUGGUUUAAAUUGGCUCACAAUGUCAUGCACAAAGGCAGAAUGGGUGUCAGGGCUAGCUUAACUCAGUGA